rnacentral:lncRNA from 1 species
AUGAGCCUUGCUGGAGUUAGUGGCAAGUGGCGCGCUGCCCAUCUAAUUCCCCUAAUUCACGGCAAGACCACACUCAGGCUCUUGCAACCAGGAGCAGGUGGCCUGAGAAUGCGAAUUAAUAACUGCAUGUCCCAGCUCCCAACAUGCCUGCUUAGAGAAGCUGUCCACGACUACCAAGACAAAAGAUACAGCGUGCUUCCUCCUAGGCGCGGGAGAGGAGGGGAACCCUACCCAAGACUCCGCAGCCCUCAGGGACCCUGCGUGGUCUCUACCUCCGGAUGGGGCUGCGGAGCUCCUGACGGCCGCCAGGUGGCGCGGGAGACGCGCCUGCUUCUCCAAGCUGGGCGGGGCUGGACCCGUCCUGGAGUAGGGGCUCCUCCGGAAGUCUUUGCCUCAAACCUAUUUAGAAGCCCUUUGUACAAAAAAAAAGAAAAAAAAAACCUGGGUGACUCAAUCGGUUGAGCGUCUGCCUUCGGCUCAGGUCAUGAUCCUGGAGUCCCAGGAUGGAGCCUGCAUCAGGCUCUCUUUUCAGCUGGGGGCCUGCUUCUCCCUCUCCCUCUGCCUCCUGCUCCCUUUGCUUGUUCUCACUCUUGCUCUGUCAAAUAAAUAAAUAAAAUCUUAAAAUAAAAUAAAAUCUUUAAAGAAAAGCUAAACUCAUGACUCUUAUACAGUUAGACAAGGAGCAUUUGUCAAAGAUGUAAUUCAACUUAUUAAUUAACAAGGGAGCACUAAGAUAGUAAAUUGAUGCAAAGAACAUUUGAGGAACUGUAUUUUUCACUUUCUCCUACCCCCCUAAGAAAUUGGCAUUUAUACAAUUCAUUUAAAAAUGCUGGGAUGAGGGGCACCUGGGUGGCUCAGUUGGUUAAGCUGCUGCCUUCAGCUCAGGUCAUGAUCCCAGGGUCCUGGGAUCGAGUCCCACAUUGGGCUGUCUGCUCAGCAAAGAGC